GAUGAACGCUGGCGGCGUGGAUAAGGCAUGCAAGUCAAACGGCCCCUUCGGGGGCAGUGGCAGACGGGGUAGUAACAGGUAGGAAUGUACCCAGAAGUCAGGAAUAACUCAUCGAAAGAUGAGCUAAUACUUGAUAGUCUCUUCGGAGUAAAGAUUUAUCGCUUCUGGAACAGCCUGCUUCGUAUCAGUUUGUUGGUGAGGUAAUGGCUCACCAAGACUAUGACGCGUAGGGGACCUGAGAGGGUGACCCCCACCAUUGGUACUGAGACACUGACCAAACACCUACGGGUGGCUGCAGUCGAGAAUCUUCCGCAAUGGGCGAAAGCCUGACGGAGCGACGCCGCGUGAUUGAUGAAGUCCUUCGGGACGUAAAAAUCUUUUCUCAAGGAGGAAGUUUAUUGACGUUACUUGAGGAAUAAGGGGUUGCUAAACUCG
rnacentral:rRNA from 1 species